GAUGAACGCUAGCGGGAGGCCUAAUACAUGCAAGUCGAACGGUAAGGUCCCUUCGGGGAUACACGAGUGGCGGACGGGUGCGUAACGCGUACGAAACAUACCUUCAACAGGGAGAUACCUCCGGGAAACUGGAAAUAAUACCCCAUAGUAUUGAGAUAUCGCAUGAUAUUUCAAUUAAAGCUUUGGUCGGUUGAAGAUUGUCGUGCGUCUGAUUAGCUAGUUGGUGAGGUAACGGCUCACCAAGGCGACGAAUCAGUAGCUGGUCUGAGAGGAUGAUCAGCCACACUGGAACUGAGACACGGUCCAGACUCCUACGGGAGGCAGCAGUAGGGAAUAUUGGACAAUGGGCGGAAGCCUGAUCCAGCCAU
rnacentral:rRNA from 1 species